GAUUGGAUACUCCCCGGCCAAUGGAAACCAUGACAACGGCUCCUUAGAUCAGUCGGUUUUGAGAGCAAAAGCUGAAGAAUUACCAGGACUGGCUCAAAAACUGGUGACCAGUUUGAAAAAUAACAUGCUCAUCGACUUUCAGAAGGAUUGGAAGCUGAUCACAGUUUACCUCGGCGUUGCUGAUAUGUGCACCUAUUG